GUCUCCUGCAUUGCAGGCAGAUUCUUUACCACUGAGCCACUGGGAAAGCCUUCAACCUAACCCUAAACAAAGCUAAAUUAUGGAACACUUUUUUUAAAACUUCCGAAUUUCUUAAGAAAAUUUAAUAGGCUUCCACACUAUAGUGGCAGAGGUGAGUAGUUGCAACAGAAACAUGACCUACAAAGGGUAAAAUAUUUACUUUCUGGCUCUUUACAUAGUUUGCUGACUCUUGGUCUAAAACACAAUACAAAAUUCUAGUGACAUAUUUCCUAAGCUAGUGCAAAAUAGUGAUGACCUGGCUAUUUUUCUUCUGAAUAGGUUAACUCUAUUUUUAAUUGUGUGUGUGUGUAUAUAUAUAGAUUAUAUAGAAUAGGAUUACAAUGUAUAAAAUAUAUCCUAUUUUUUAACUGACAUGAUGCCGAGAAUUAAAAAAACUGCAUGUGGAAAAUAUGGGACUGAAUCAAGUCCUAUCUUUACGUCUGGAGCUUAUCAGCUUUAUCUCUUGAAAUAUUUUCCACAUCUAAGAAAUGAUGGGUAAAUUAUCUUGUAUUUUACUAUUCCCUUGCCCUCCCUCCACUAAAUUUCCUUGGGGCUGAGAUUUGCACUAUAAAAAACUCCUCUCCUGAGCCUUUUGCAGUCACUGUUCUAGUGUCCAGAACGAAAGUAACCUACAAGUCACUUGCUACUUGGAGUCAAUGUAUCUUCUUUGGUCCACACCAUGUUUUAAAAAACAAAAACAAAAAACCCCUCAGCUGCCAUUUAAAAAAUCAAGGGCUAUCACACGUGGGAAAAAAAAGGUAUAUUUCUGGAUUGUCCCCCAAAGUCAGAAGAGUUGGCAAAACAAGGGCUACAUUUUCUUAUAGCACUUUAUAGCUAGAACUGGACACUGCAGAGCCUCUUCAGUUACUGUCCCAACCCAAGUUCAUUCCUGUUAUUCAUUUAAUAGAUACCAGUGGUAAAGAAUCAGCCUGCCAAUGCAAGAGACACAGGUUCAAUCCCUNNNNNNNNNNNNNNNNNNNNNNNNNNNNNNNNNNNNNNNNNNNNNNNNNNNNNNNNNAAUCCCAUGGACAGAGGAGCCUGGUGGGCUAUAGUCCAUGGGGUCACAGUCGGAUACGACCUAGACUGAACAACGAAAGUUUAUUUUUUCUUAGUAUGCUUGGAUACAUAUUCACGGAUCACCCUGAUAAAAUAGCUUCCUUGUUUGUGUCCUCCUAAUCCAUUCCUAACAUUAGGAUUAUAUU
rnacentral:lncRNA from 1 species